rnacentral:rRNA from 1 species
AUUGAACGCUGGCGGAAUGCUUUACACAUGCAAGUCGAACGGCAGCACGGACUUCGGUCUGGUGGCGAGUGGCGAACGGGUGAGUAACAUAUCGGAACGUAUCCAAUAAUGGGGGAUAACUAAUCGAAGGGUUGGCUAAUACCGCAUACGCCCUAUGGGGGAAAGCUAGGGACCUUCGGGCCUGGCGUUAAUGGAGCGGCCGAUAUCUGAUUAGCUAGUUGGUGGGGUAAAGGCCCACCAAGGCGACGAUCAGUAGCUGGUCUGAGAGGACGACCAGCCACACUGGAACUGAGACACGGUCCAGACUCCUACGGGAGGCAGCAGUGGGGAAUUUUGGACAAUGGGCGCAAGCCUGAUCCAGCCAUUCCGCGUGAGUGAAGAAGGCCUUCGGGUUGUAAAGCUCUUUCGCAAGGGAAGAAAACUUAGCCUCUAACAUAGGCUGAGGUUGACGGUACCUUGAUAAGAAGCACCGGCUAACUACGUGCCAGCAGCCGCCGUAA